GCUAACUGUACACAUGUCUUCACAGAUAUCGAGCUUGCUACACGAUCCAAAUUGAUGGGAAUUAUAAGGAUAUCCUUGCUGAGAGCUUGAUUCCUUGUGAGAAAGGCAUAAGUGACAUCAUCAUUUCCCAUGGCAGCAGUUUGAUGAAUAAAGUGUUAUCGCCCCGAUAUUGUCUACAAAUACGGUCUUCACAGCGCCGGAAACGUUGAUACUUUGGGACUGUUGAAUGCAGUUUAUUUCUGUCGACAAGGAUUUCUUUGGAAUGUAAUGGCCCGGGAACCAGACAUGCAGAUUCACUAGAGGUAGAUGGCGCAGACAGAACGGACGAUAGUUGCUGAUGCUGAUCGUGAUUUAGAUGACACCAUGCAUUAACUGAAUGCAUAUGUUUGUGUCCUGUUAGCCGCAUGAUUCCAUUAGGCACGAUAUAUCAAAGCUGAAAAGCUCCCAUGUUUAUUUG